CCAUGGAACAUAUAAGCUAAUGAAUGUUCACAGAAUCCUAACUGGGGAUACAAUUGUGGGAAAAUAUUACCCUUAAUUAAUAUAUAGUCUGAUAUUUGAGCAGUUAUAGAUUCAAGGCAGAAGGCUAGCUUUCAAGGGGAGACUUUCACUCCCAUACCUGGCUGCUGUAUGACUGCCCUAGGGCAGCAAUCACAGAGACACCACAGGGCAGCCUCUGUUAGGAUUAGGAUGACUGAGGCAUGGUCUAGUUGGAUGUUAGGACUGGGCUCUAUUUAGCCUACACAAUCCUGUAUAAUCUUAGAAUUAAAGAAAAAAGAAAGAAACGAAGGAAGGGAGGGAG
rnacentral:lncRNA from 10 species